UGUUUCUGUGAGUGCAGAAUCAUCCUUGGUUUCACAUUCAGUAGAAUUUCUCUUUGGCCAUUAGAGUAAGCAAGAAUAUAGACAUUGCUGGGUGUUUAUAUUUGCUUUUUGUUUUGUUUUGGUGGGUUUAUUUUUUUCUUUGAUCUUUGGGUACUCAC